GACGGAGGGUGCAAGCGUUGUCCGGAAUCACUGGGCGUAAAGGGCGCGUAGGCGGCUCAUGAAGGCUGUGGUGAAAGUCCGGGGCUCAACCUCGGAUCGGCCGUGGCGACUCGUGGGCUGGAGCACUGUAGAGGCGGGUGGAAUUCCGGGUGUAGCGGUGGAAUGCGUAGAGAUCCGGAAGAACACCAGUGGCGAAGGCGGCCCGCUGGGCAGUGGCUGACGCUGAGGCGCGACAGCGUGGGGAGCAAACAGG
rnacentral:rRNA from 1 species